GAAAAAACGGCCUUAAAUUGCGCGUUCUGCUGCGAUCGCGUAUACUUUUGUCGUUGACGUAAUACAGUGUGCUUGCGGUUACCACCCGUAAAAACACCGAUCAAAACCUCGCUGCGGCGGGGUUUUUU
rnacentral:sRNA from 1 species